rnacentral:rRNA from 1 species
AGAGUUUGAUCAUGGCUCAGGAUGAACGCUGGCGGCGUGCCUAAUACAUGCAAGUCGAACGAAUCUCUUUUAGAGAUGAGUGGCGAACGGGUGAGUAAUACAUAGGUAACCUGCCCCUGUGCAGGGGAUAACAGGAGGAAACUCCUGCUAAUACCGCAUAGCCAUGAGCACCGCAUGGAGCUCAUGCCAAAUAUCCUUUCGGGGAUAGCGCAGGGGAUGGACCUAUGGCGCAUUAGCUUGUUGGCGGGGCAACGGCCCACCAAGGCAACGAUGCGUAGCCGGCCUGAGAGGGCGGACGGCCACAUUGGGACUGAGACACGGCCCAGACUCCUACGGGAGGCA